AACGGCCGUACCAUGCUGAAUAUACCGGUUCUCGUUAGAUCACCGAAGUCAAGCAUCAUUGGGCGCGGGUUGUACUUGGGUGGGUGACCACCUGGGAACACCGCGUGCCGUU